CCUACGGGCGGCAGCAGUGAGGAAUAUUGGUCAAUGGGCUUACGCCUGAUCCAGCCAAGUCGCGUGAGGGAAGACUUCCCUCUGGGUUGUAAACCUCUUUUGUCAGGGAGCAAUUGGCGCUACGUGUAUCGUUAUCGAGAGUACCUGAAGUAAAAGCAUCGGCUAUCUCGGUGCCAGCAGCCGCGGUAUUACGGUGGAUGCGAGCGUUAUCCGGAUUUAUUGGGUUUAAAGGAUGCGUAGGCGGACUGCCAAGUCAGCGGUAAAAUCGCGGGGUGAAACGUCGCUCUGCCGUUGAAACUGGCGAUCUAGAGUGGGCGAGAAGUAUGCGGAAUGCGUGGUGUAGCGGUGAAAUGCAUAGAUAUUACGAAGAACUCCGAUGGCGAAGGCAGCAUACCGGCGCCCAACUGACGCUGAGGCACGAAAGCGUGGGUAUCGAACAGGAUUAGAUACCCCUGUAGUC
rnacentral:rRNA from 1 species